CACAAGGCAAAGAGAUGCAAAGAACGCCCAUUCUUAUUUUAGAUGGACGACAACUAAAUCAGAAAGAAGAGGACAGAAUAGAGCAAAAUGGAGUCAGUAAAAUAUCCUCACACAUUCUUCAAGCAACCAUGCAGUGACUCGAACUGUGCAAAGUGGAGGACACGAGGCAAGAAUUUGUCCCUCCUUCAGGAAAUUGGUCAUCAGACCCCCAAGUUUUAAGCAGACAGAAGCAGAGCCAUACAAGUUGGAGCAGGCACGAGGAACCCAAGGACACGAUGAUUGAGAUUCAACCCACUGCCCACCUGCAAGGAGCCAGCCACUGCCUUCUGACCAUUUAUCUUCACCUUGCCUAUCUGAUGAUAAUUCAUAGUUUUAUGAAUUCUAUGCAACUGGCAGCCUACAUGAAUAUCUGAGAAACUUAAUACAGCUGUAUUGUAAUGUCC
rnacentral:lncRNA from 1 species